rnacentral:snRNA from 1 species
UCACUCUGGUGUCUCAUCAAUACCAGGAUAAUUCUUUCGUCUUUUACUAGAGAGUUCCGUGGUUACGAGCAUUGAUGAGUCUAUAUUAUUUUUUUUUCGAACGUCUGGUCCUUAGACUUG